rnacentral:rRNA from 1 species
UACCCAUAAGCUAGCCUAACCACCAAAACACAACAAACACCAUUAAUAACCCCCUAAACCCUAAAUAGGAACCCUAAAACAUUCUUCCCCCCUAGUAUGGGCGACAAAAAAGGAACCAAGAGCCAUAGAACUAGUACCGCAAGGGAAAGCUGAAAGAGAGGUGAAAAAGAACAGUAAAGUCUAGAGAAGCAGGACUAAACCCCCGUACCUUUUGCAUCAUGAAUUAGCAAGUAUAAACAGGCAAGGGGGACCACAGUCUGCCACCCCGAAACUGAGUGAGCUACUCCAGGACCGCCUAUUACAGGGCAAACCCGUCUCUGUGGCAAAAGAGUGGGAAGAUCCUCGAGUAGAAGUGAUAAACUUACCGAACCCAGUGAUAGCUGGUUGUCUGGAAAAUGGAUAUAAGUUCAGCCCCACCUCUUCUUUACUCAAAAGUAGAAAAUACCACUAUGACAAAAAGAAGAAGGGGGAGUUACUCAAAGGGGGUACAGCCCCUUUGAGAGAAGAAACAACUUUUUAAGCAGGAUAAGGAUUAAAAUAUUUAAGGGAUAGUAACCUAGUGGGCCUAAAAGCAGCCACCUAUAUAGAAAGCGUCAAAGCUCAAACACGACUCCGCCCCAUUAUACCAAUAAACAGCCCAAAGCCCCAAAUAACACCAGACCUCUCCACUGCAAGUGGAGGAGAAGAUGCUAGUAUGAGUAAUAAGAAACCCAAGAGUUUCUCCCAGCACACGCUUAAGCCAGCACGGACAACCCACCGAAAAUUAACGGACCCAAAGAAAGAGGGCAAUGAAAGACGACGAACUAACUAGAAGAACACUCACCCCCACCCGUUGACCCCACACUGGUGUGCCCCAAGGAAAGACAAAAGGGAAGAGAAGGAACUCGGCAAAAUAUCCCAAGCCUCGCCUGUUUACCAAAAACAUCGCCUCUUGCAAACAUAUAUAGAAUAAGAGGUCUGACCUGCCCAGUGACACUAUGUUCAACGGCCGCGGUAUUUUGACCGUGCUAAGGUAGCGCAAUCACUUGUCUUUUAAAUAAGGACCUGUAUGAAAGGUAUGACGAGGGCUUGACUGUCUCCUCUCCCCAGUCAAUGAAAUUGAUCUCCCCGUGCAGAAGCGGGGAUCUUAACAUAAGACGAGAAGACCCUGUGGAGCUUGAGACCCAGGUGUGGCACAUGUUAAAAAAACUUUACUCAAAGGACAAACUAAGUGAAACCCACACCUAUGUCUUCGGUUGGGGUGACCAUGGGGUAGACCUAACCCCCAUGAAGACAGGGAGCACUAGAGGAAAUCUUCCAUAAAUUUACAACUCCCCUCCUAAAAGCCAGAGCCCCACCUCUAGCUAACGAAACAUUCGACUUGAAAUGAUCCGGGAAACCGAUCAACGAACCAAGUUACCCCAGGGAUAACAGCGCUAUCCCCUUCAAGAGCCCAUAUCGCCAAGGGGGUUUACGACCUCGAUGUUGGAUCAGGACAUCCUAAUGGUGCAGCCGCUAUUAAGGGUUCGUUUGUUCAACGAUUAAAGUCCUACGUGAUCUGAGUUCAGACCGGAGUAAUCCAGGUCAGUUUCUAUCUAUGAACGCACUCUCUUCUAGUACGAAAGGACCGAAGAGAGAGGGCCCCUGCUCCCCAGCACGCCCGACCCUUACUUGAUGAAGUCAACUAAACCAAAUAAAGGGGCGCAAGGCCCAUACUUAGAUAUUAGUAU